GUUAAUGAAAGAACUCCGGAGAAGUUUAAUGGCUUCUGACAGAAAAUGGGUGUGCAGACCCUUUUAAAGGCAUUAUUACAUCAUUGAAGAAAAUCAAGAUAUAGACAAAUAGACAUUGUUAAUUGGCUUAGGUGCUAAGAUGUUAGUAAAAUGCCCUCCCCAUUCUUAGGUCACUAUCCAUAUCAUUUCUCAACUCCUACAGGUUUUAGCGCCAUUUUGCUAACAUGAGGAGCUCACUCGACGGGAGGGGCCUUUUGGCAGCUAUCCAUUUAGAGCGUAGCUGGCACUUGUUAGUUUCUCAAGGUUAAGUUUCAAGGAUUUUAGUAAAUACACAUUUUAUCAAAGCUAUUUCUUGCUGACAUGCAAAUUCUAUGUUCUAUAGACAAAGCUUUCUUGUAAAACUAUG